CCCCUAGAUGUUCUGGGCCGCACGCGCGCUACACUGAACAGUUCAACAAGUCUUAACCUUGGCCGAUAGGUCUGGGUAAUCUUUGAACGCUGUUCGUGAUUGGGAUAGACCUUUGCAAUUAUGGGUCUUCAACGAGGAAUUCCUAGUAAACGCAAGUCAUCAGCUUGCAUUGAUUACGUCCCUGCCCUUUGUACACACCGCCGUCGCACCUACCGAUUGAAUGGUCCGGUGAAAUCUCGGGACGGCGGCUUGGUCGCUUGCGUCCGACUGCUGAAACUUGAUUAAACCAUAUCAUUUAGAGGAAGGUGAANUCGUAACA
rnacentral:rRNA from 1 species